AGUCCAAGCACUGAGGUGGGAGCCGAGAGGUCAAGGGCGAGGUGGAAUUUGGUUCUUCAAAUGGAAAAAGCAUUUGAUUGACAUGCCUCUUUAUGGAGGGCACUGGAGAACCUCGGGGUCUGCAGAAAAACGCUUUGAUAGCCGACCAAUUGGCUGGGAUACUUGGAAAGAGCAUCAGGACUAGGACUUACCAGCACCAAAGGUGUGGAUGCACUCCACUCCAUCCAUGAUGGCAAUGAUGCCGAGGGUCCACCAGCCAACUAGAUACAAUCGGCCUUUCUUCUGCAGGCUGAGAGUGAGUCAGAGGCCAGGACACACAUGAUCACCAUGAACAACCCAAGAGGAAACACCCAAGGCCUUCCAGCACAUGGACCCAUCACUCUUGUUAACCCAUCCCGAAGACUAUGCUCUGCCCUCAAGAUGUCCUCUACGGACACACAGCCACACACCCAGUGCUGACUUGUUUCAUCAGGGUGGCAGUUUUGGAAUUCUGACUGUAGGUCACCUGAUGAGAGCCCACUCAGAUGUCCUCAGGAUUUCCAGAAGGCAUCUGGAGGAAAAUUCACUAGCUCCCAAAGAGGGCCUGGUGUCCCCCCAAAACACCACUAGGCACAAGGCGACCCUCUGGGUAGGACAUCUGCCACUUGAGCGGCAUGUACACACAACUCCAAAACAACCUGAUGUUUAUGCAAUUUGAGCAGCACUGACAGAUUUCCCACUGCUGGACAGGAGCGAUGGAUAGGAAGGAAGGCUGGAAGGAAACUGGUCAUGUUGGACUGGAAUUUAAGGGGCUCUGUUUGCUGCUUGGGGUUUGAGAUGUGAGCUCCCAGCUGAUCCUGAUGCCACGCCUCCCUGAUCCACCAUGCCAUGACAGUGAUGGACUCUUAGCCCUCUGGAACGAGCUAAAGACUCCACAUUUGCCGAGUCAACCAACUGCAACUCAUGAAGACUGCGUAUGGGGCUGGCGGGACGGAUGAGGAAAGGCACUUUCCUGAUGACCUAAGUUUAAUCCAUGGGAUUCACGUGAUGUAAGGGAAGAACAGACCCUUCUUCAAGUUGUCCUCUGACACCCAUAUGCACCCCUCCCCAUAAAUACAAUAGAAUUUUAAAAAAAUAUAUAAAGACUGUGUGUGUGUGUGUGUGUGUGUGUGUGUGUGUGUUAAUGUAAUUUUCAGAUACUAUUCUUGUCCUAACUAAUACAGUAUAACAAUUACUUUGUCUGUCUUUCCAGCACAGAGUCUCAUGAUGUAGCCAAGGCUGGUCUUUAACAUGCAUGCUCUCCAGCUUGGUCUCCCCAGUGCUCUGUCCACCACCACACAUGGUUCAGUAACACUUGUAAAACAUUUACUUUGUAUCAGCUAGUUAAUCUAGAAACGAUUUAAAGUAGACAGGAAGUGUGCACAGAUUCUAGGCAAAUACCAUACCAUUUGGUAUAAGGUGUUUGAGCAUCCAUAAGAUGUUUGAUCGUCCAUAGAAUGCCAUCCUUUGUGAGGUUUUGUACAACUAAUUCCUCAUGAAUUAUGAAGGAAGACUUUGCUGAUAGUAAUAUAUUUUUCCCACAGUACAGUUUCAAUGAAUGACUACAAAAGCUAUGAAAUAAGUGAAAGUCGGUCAUUAAGUAGCACCACAGUUACACUUACCACAGGAAAGGUUCAUCAAUGAAUGCUGACCAAAGCGGGUAGAGUAUAAGACAGAGACCUUUGUGCAGGCUUGGCCUCUACUCCAACUAUGCACUAAUUAAGGGACCAGUGUAAUUUUAUCACUGAGUUACCCAGAAGACACACGCUUGCCAACUGAUCAGUUAGCACCACAGAAACUUUUUGCUGAUUACAUCAGUACCAUGUACCUUCUGACUCCGUGCAUCAAGAAGGUCAACACUGUCUGGUAGUAUUCCUAUAAAAACCAUAUAGCCUUCAACCUAAGCUUGAGAGAAUGCCACACAAAUCCAUACAGGGAAACAUCUAUAAAAUAUCGAGUGGCCGCGACACGUGACCUUACCUUCUGGUCAUCGGGUACCAGGUCCUGGAGCACCUUCCUCUUUGGCCAUUCCUUGGUCAGCUCAGCAGAGGCCAGCUCCUGCAGAUGGCACACAGCCAUCUUGGCAGAACGCUGCUGAACUCGGCCUCCGUCCUUUGCUUCCAGACUCAUCUCCUUCAAAUAGUCUGUCUGUCCUGAUUCUGGGGAAAAGACCUGCAAGAGUGAGCCAGUGAAAACAAAGUGGCUUCAGUUACAGCCAGUGAUUACACACGAUGCCCUUCUUAGCAGGAUAAAGUCUAUGACACUAGUACACAGGGGUAAAGACAGGCAGAGCCUCGGAGUUCACUGGCCAGCCAGUCUAGCUAACAGGGCAAGUCCCAGAGUCAUUGGGAGACUCUACCUUUAAAAAUAAGGUGGAGCAAAACUGAGAAAAGACACUCAAUGCAGACCUCUGACUUCAACAUGCAUGCUCACACAUGUGCAUGCACACCUACACAUGUAUGUGUACACACACACAAACACAUCCACACACAUAUUCCCCCACCGCACAAAGAGUAAGGCAGGAGGAGAUAGCUCAGUCCAUUAAGGUUGAUCCCCAAAGCCCACAUUGAGAAGACAGGUGUGGUGGUGCACACCACUGGAGGAGCCGAGGCAGGAGGACCUCUGGGGCUGGCUGGCUGUCUGGCAAGCCUAGCAGCCUGGCAGACCUAGGCCAAUGUCUCAAUAAAACAGGGGACAGCUACUGAGGGGUGACACCUGAGGUUGUCCUCUGGCCUUCACAUCUGCACACCCACAUGCACCUGCACACAAACAAAUAUCUACAUG